rnacentral:rRNA from 1 species
UACGUAGGGUGCAAGCGUUGUCCGGAAUUAUUGGGCGUAAAGGGCUCGUAGGCGGUUUGUCGCGUCGGGAGUGAAAACCUCGGGCUUAACUCGGGGCUUGCUUUCGAUACGGGCAGACUGGAGGUAUGCAGGGGAGAACGGAAUUCCUGGUGUAGCGGUGAAAUGCGCAGAUAUCAGGAGGAACACCGGUGGCGAAGGCGGCAUCCUGGACCAACACUGACGCUGAGUGAGCGAAAGCCAGGGGAGCAAACGGG